rnacentral:rRNA from 1 species
GAUGAACGCUGGCGGCGUGCCUAAUACAUGCAAGUCGAGCGAACAGACGAGAGUGCUUGCACUCUCUGACGUUAGCGGCGGACGGGUGAGUAACACGUGGGUAACCUACCUAUAAGACUGGGAUAACUUCGGGAAACCGGAGCUAAUACCGGAUAAUAUUUAGCUUCGCAUGAAGCAAUAGUGAAAGACGGUUCUGCUGUCACUUAUAGAUGGACCCGCGGUGUAUUAGCUAGUUGGUGAGGUAACGGCUCACCAAGGCAACGAUACAUAGCCGACCUGAGAGGGGGAACAGAGAGAGUGGGAGGUAGGAAAGCUCCAGAAACGGAGGAGAGGCAGAAGUGGGGAAUAGGGGGGAGUGGGGGGAUGCCUGAUACAGUAAAACCGGGUGGGGGAAGAAGAACUGCGGGUUGUAAAACUGCUGUAUUGGUGAAGAAAAGUAACCAGAGAGCACCAGGCAGCAGGGAAGGGAAUGGCAGAAUAAGACCCGGCGAACGUCGUG